UACGAAGGGUGCUAGCGUUGCUCGGAAUCACUGGGCGUAAAGGGUGCGUAGGCGGUUUUUUACGUCAGCGGUGAAAUCCUGGAGCUCAACUCCAGAACUGCCUUUGAUACUGGGAAUCUUGAGUUCGGGAGAGGUGAGUGGAACUGCGAGUGUAGAGGUGAAAUUCGUAGAUAUUCGCAAGAACACCAGUGGCGAAGGCGGCUCACUGGCCCGAUACUGACGCUGAGGCACGAAAGCGUGGGGAGCAAACAGG
rnacentral:rRNA from 1 species